GGAAAGGGAAGGGCGCGGGCGGCUGCGCCGAAGCCCCUCACGCUCCCCUGCACCCCUCCCUCCCGGCCGCACCUCGAGCUCCUUUCCUUUCUCCCCUUCCCCCGCCCCGAGCCCACUCCUCUCCGUGCCUCGAUCCCGGUACCGCGGCGGGGGCGGGACCGCGAAACCCCGGCUCUAAGCCCGGACGCCCCAGGGAUGCUGCGGGCCCCCCGGAGCUGCUUACCUGGGGCCGCGGCACCAGGAGCGGGCGCGGCGCGGCUCCUCCUCGCCUCCGCGCCCUCCUUCUCCGCUUCUCCCCGGACUCUGUCCUGGGCGCCGAGCUCUGAGACCGGGCCGGGCUGCAGCCGCCUUCCCCGCCGUCGCCUCGGCCGCCGCUGCUGCAGACAGAGGACGCCCAGUGGCGGCUGGAAGCCCGUAAACAACAAAAGCUUUCUAACUCUGAAGACUGGUAAAUUUAGGCUGUGAGAUGUACCAUGAAUUCGAAAAUCAACUCCUCAUGCUGGGAGCCGAUUGCCCCAAAUUCUUUCAAGUGAGAAGACAGGGACCGUUAGCUGAAAUGCCGCUGUUGAGUUUAGUGGUGUGAGCGUGCAUAAGGAUACAGGUAAUUUCCCCCAUAAUUAGGUCGCAGAUCACUUCGUG
rnacentral:lncRNA from 1 species